AUUGAACGCUGGCGGCAGGCCUAACACAUGCAAGUCGAGCGGAUGAAGGGUGCUUGCUCCUGGAUUCAGCGGCGGACGGGUGAGUAAUGCCUAGGAAUCUGCCUGGUAGUGGGGGAUAACGUCCGGAAACGGGCGCUAAUACCGCAUACGUCCUGAGGGAGAAAGUGGGGGAUCUUCGGACCUCACGCUAUCAGAUUUGCCUAGGUCGGAUUAGCUAGUUGGUGGGGUAAAGGCCUACCAAGGCGACGAUCCGUAACUGGUGUGAGAGGAUGAUCAGUCACAGUGGAACUGAGACACGGUCAAGAGACCUACGGGAGGCAGCAGUGGGGAAUAUUGGACAAUGGGCGAAAGCAUGAUCAAGCCAUGCCGCGUGUGUGAAGAAGGUCUUCGGAUUGUAAAGCACUUUAAGUUGGGAGGAAGGGAAGUAAGUUAAUAACUAGAUGUUUUGACGUUACCAAAAGAAUAAGCACCGGCUAACUUCGUG
rnacentral:rRNA from 1 species